rnacentral:rRNA from 1 species
AGUGAACGCUGGCGGUAGGCCUAACACAUGCAAGUCGAACGGCAGCACAGUAAGAGCUUGCUCUUACGGGUGGCGAGUGGCGGACGGGUGAGGAAUACAUCGGAAUCUACUUUUUCGUGGGGGAUAACGUAGGGAAACUUACGCUAAUACCGCAUACGACCUACGGGUGAAAGCAGGGGAUCUUCGGACCUUGCGCGAUUGAAUGAGCCGAUGUCGGAUUAGCUAGUUGGCGGGGUAAAGGCCCACCAAGGCGACGAUCCGUAGCUGGUCUGAGAGGAUGAUCAGCCACACUGGAACUGAGCCACGGUCCAGACUCCUACGGGAGGCAGCAGUGGGGAAUAUUGGCCAAUGGGCGCAAGCCUGAUCCAGCCAUACCGCGUGGGUGAAGAAGGUCUUCGGGUUGUAAAGCCCUUUUGUUGGGAAAGAAAAGCAGCAGGUUAAUACCCCGCUGUUCUGACGGUACCCAAAGAAUAAGCACCGGCUAACUUCGUG